GUCUAAUUUUCACAUCUGCUCAAGAUUCUGAUAUUUCAUCCGAAGAAGAGCCUAUGCAAUCACACAGAAACCUGAUCCAGGACUUGCAUGUGCUGGGAUUAACCAAAAAAUAUUUCAUCUCGGCCUUCUUCCCAGGGCAGUUGUUAAAGAAGAUAUAUACGUC